GUGUUAGUAAUUAAAAGUCUUAAAAUAUGAAAAAUUUAUAUAAAAAGUGUCCAAAUUCAAAACAUUAUCAAACUCUCUAAAAAUGCCUAGAAUGCAGGAUUUUGCACCAUUCAUUUCAUACCUUCAAAAAAAAAAAUUCGCCUCGCUUCGCUCGGCUCAAUUAUUUUGCCUCACUAAAAUAAGAUGCCUAGUUACGGCCUUGA
rnacentral:lncRNA from 1 species